GGACAGGUGAAGACGUUCGUUGUAGGAACCUGGAAUAAGAAAGAAAUAAAACUAAUAAGUAAAUAAAUUCACAUGUGUGUCACAUGGUGACAUCGCUGGAUUUCAUGUUUAACAUGGUUCGUCGACCGAUAACAGCGUCCACCGACAAACAUGUUGUCCGCUUCCACGCGCAAGGAAAGUGCAGCAACGUUGAACAGCAAGACUGCGAGAGAAGACGAAGGAAACAGCAGAACGAAAUUACGAAGCUGCGCCUAGCAUGCAGGGCGUGGCUGCUGUUGCCUGGAUCAAGAAAUAUUGGAACGACAUACUUCCUAUGUUUCAUUUUCAAUUUCUUCACGGUUGGUACGCGAUUAUUAUUAUCUGGUAUUUAUCUAGUGCACUUGCCCGUGCACAGACAUUCUCUCUCUCUCUUUUUUUUGCACGCCUUCUACUAUACUUUACAUAUGUUUGACUUUU